GAUGAACGCUGGCGGCGUGCCUAAUACAUGCAAGUCGAGCGAACGGACGAGAAGCUUGCUUCUCUGAUGUUAGCGGCGGACGGGUGAGUAACACGUGGAUAACCUACCUAUAAGACUGGGAUAACUUCGGGAAACCGGAGCUAAUACCGGAUAAUAUUUUGAACCGCAUGGUUCAAAAGUGAAAGACGGUCUUGCUGUCACUUAUAGAUGGAUCCGCGCUGCAUUAGCUAGUUGGUAAGGUAACGGCUUACCAAGGCAACGAUGCAUAGCCGACCUGAGAGGGUGAUCGGCCACACUGGAACUGAGACACGGUCCAGACGCCUACGGGAGGCAGCAGUAGGGAAUCUUCCGCAGUGGGCGAAAGCCUGACGGAGCAACGCCGCGUGAGUGAUGAAGGUCUUCGGAUCGUAAAACUCUGUUAUUAGGGAAGAACAUAUGUGUAAGUAACUGUGCACAUCUUGACGGUACCUAAUCAGAAAGCCACGGCUAACUACGU
rnacentral:rRNA from 1 species